rnacentral:rRNA from 1 species
GCAAAACGCGAAGAACCUUACCAGGUCUUGACAUCCCAUUGACCACUAUGGAGACAUAGUUUUCCCUUCGGGGACAACGGUGACAGGUGGUGCAUGGUUGUCGUCAGCUCGUGUCGUGAGAUGUUGGGUUAAGUCCCGCAACGAGCGCAACCCUUGUUCUUAGUUGCCAUCAUUUAGUUGGGCACUCUAAGGAGACUGCCGGUGACAAACCGGAGGAAGGUGGGGAUGACGUCAAAUCAUCAUGCCCCUUAUGACCUGGGCUACACACGUGCUACAAUGGACGGUACAAACGGUUGCCAACCCGCGAGGGGAGCUAAUCCGACUAAAACCGUUACUCGGUUCGGUAGUUGUAGGCUGCAACUCGCCUACAUGAAGCCGGAAUCGCUAGUAAUCGCGGAUCAGCAUGCCGCGGU